rnacentral:rRNA from 1 species
UACGAAGGGGGCUAGCGUUGUUCGGAAUCACUGGGCGUAAAGGGCGCGUAGGCGGCUUUGUAAGUCGGGGGUGAAAGCCUGUGGCUCAACCACAGAAUUGCCUUCGAUACUGUUUGGCUUGAGACCGGAAGAGGUUAGUGGAACUGCGAGUGUAGAGGUGAAAUUCGUAGAUAUUCGCAAGAACACCAGUGGCGAAGGCGGCUGACUGGUCCGGUUCUGACGCUGAGACGCGAAAGCGUGGGGAGCAAACAGG